rnacentral:lncRNA from 1 species
CUUCGCCGUCCCUGACUGGAGGAAACCUGCAGGCUCUCGUCCGCCGAGCUCAGAAGUGCCAGGCGCUGCCAACGGCCCCGGAGAUCCUCGCGCAUUAUAGUGGCCUAUGAGCAGAAUUUGCCAUGCCUUCCAUGGAGCAUUCUUUUUCCAAGUCAGGUCAAUCCAGCCUGCAGCUGUAAGUCAAUGAAGUUCCUCAGAUAAAGUGCAUGCAAAAAUGUUAUUUUUCAAGCACCAGUAAAGACACUUGUUUUAAUCUUAUACCCCUUGCACGUACUAUAGAGGAAGAGGGUGACCCUUAGUGUUGAAUAGAUCUGGGUGGGAUUUCCAUAUCUAUGGACAAGCUGUGGCUCUGGGCCAGUUUCUACAUCUGUACAAUGGAGUCAAAUCUUUUCCUUGCAGGGCUGGUGUGAUGGGAACAUGCCAGCUUCUUCACCAAGCCUGGUCCUAUGAAGGGGUGCCUCAGUACAUACUAGUUUCUCUUUCCUCUUAUUCCCCUCCUGCCCACCUGACAAAAUCCUUCUAUUUUGCCCACGUUACAAAACUCUUCUAUUUUGCCCACCUGGCAAAAUCCUUCUAUUUUGCCAUUAACCUGCUCAAGAAAGGACUUUGUCCCCAUCUGCAUUUUCUCUGCAAGAAUGUGCCCGCCUCUAAGAAUGGAGAGUAAACCCAUGGUAUACAAGGGGCUGGGGAGGCUAAUUCACAAGAGUUCAGAAAUUCCAACAGAGCUGCACAAGGAUGAUGUCAGAAAUAAGAGUGAUAACUCAGAAACCAGUGACAGUCUAUCAGCCCGGUUUCACAAAACUGGCAGCCCACUGGCCUCUGCCUCCUCUGCCUCCCACUCUCCUUGCCUUUCCCUGAAAAGCAAAUCUAAUGAUUGGCAAAAACAAAACCAAGGCUGGAGGAGAGGGGGUGGCUAGUCUGUGUUAUUUUGCGAAGCCAUUCAUCUCUGCCAGAUUUAGGUUUACCAGGAAAGUAGGUUGAAAUAGACGUGUGUCUGCUUUGUUCUAACCCCAUUCUUCUCUGGAUAGUGGUACCAAUCGGUAUCCUGGGCUUAUAAUGACAGAAAUAUGUGUGCCAGGCAUCACAGUGAACAUUUCACACAGAUGAGCAUGUUAUAUUUACACAAGCUUCUGAAGUACAUGCCAUUAUUAUCAUUCCCAUUCUUCAGAUGAAGAAACUAAGGCAGAGAGCUGUGGAGUAGCUUGUCUGUGGCCUCAUAACUGGAGUGUGGGAGAACAUCAGGAUUUGAACUCAGGCUGUCUGGCCACCUCCACCCCACCUGCUACCAACCUUCUGUGCCCUCUCAGUUCUCCCCACCCAUCAUGUUCUUUGCAGUCAGGACCCCAGCUUUAGGUGCCCAAAGCUUUCUGUGGUCCUGGUCACUUCACUUGGGCUAAGGGGCCAAUUAACUUACUGAGCCAUCCCAUGCCAAUGGGGAAGGGCUGGAGGAAACCCCACCACCAUCCCACACAUAGUCUGGACAGCCCUCACUCCUACCCCAGGAGCACAGAUCCACAUCCAGAGCAAAUGCCAUCUCAUCCUGGACAUCUUCCUUGAUUUUGCCCCUGAGGUCUAUACCACUUUAUACCUCUCUUGGGACCUUUGCCUCUUUCCAAAAAUUACUCGUGUCUGUACAAGAUUUCAUAGUCUCCAAAGGCCUUUCCCAUCCACCUAGUCCAGCUUCUUCCCAGGCCUUUUAACCUCCUUCUAUCACUGGGAUGGCAUUCAGCAUGGUAAUUCAGCACCUGAGCUCUGGAAUCCAGCCUGCAGCAUCCUAACUUCACCACUUGCUAGCUGUGUGCCGCUGGGCAAGGUACUUGCUCAACUUCUCAACAUCUCGGUUUCCCUAUCUGUGAAACUGGGAUAAUAAUAAUGUCACCCUUAUCUGGUUGGAGGGUUGAAUGAGAUAAGCAUACAAGCAUACACAGCACCCAAACUCAGUAAGUGCUGGCUGCUGUUAUCAUCUCACUAAAUCUUCUCCCAAAACUCCUGUGGGAUUAAACCUUCCCACCACCCUCCCACACACACUCUGGUUCUUGUCAUCAGUAAAAAUGCAUCUGAACCAGAUGACCUUUAAGCUUUCUUCCAGCUCCAUCAACCUAUGAUUCUACCAUGAAUCACAGUUAUUAUGGACACAUUUUAACUCUUUAUGCCAUAGCAAUCUCCUGAAGGCCCAGCCCUUAACAUAGGGCCUUGUAUACAGUUGGCUGUCCUGCCAGGGUGAUGUUAGCACCUAACAAUAGUCCUUGCCUCAUCCACGCACUGGGAUGAACAAAUGAGGAAAUUCCUAUAUAGCAUUUAGUCCAGUGCCUGGCACUGAGUAAGCCCCUAAUAAGUCAUGGUUUCUAUUAUUAUCCCAUCUGAUACUAAUAAGAUUCCCAAACAUGGUCAUUAAAAGCAUAGGAGCCACACUGGGUGUGGACUCAUCCUAGUGCUGAUCCUGUGAGACCUUGAGCAAGUUAAUUCACCACCCCAUGCCUCAAUUUCCUCCUCUGUAAUAUGGAUGUGAUUAUGAGUAACUUCCUAAUAAGGUUGUUGUGAGUUAAUAGAAGGGCACUUAGAAUUGUGCCUGGCAUCUGCUUGGUAUAUGUAAGUGCUUUUUGUCAUCAUUUACAGAUGUCAGCGGCACCAAGGGACAUCCCCAAGCAGUAGUGGAGUUGGGAUCCAAACCUAAGCUUGACUGAUUCCAGAGCCUCAGUGCUAAUAUUAGGAGAUAUUGCUGCCCUGUGUGAUCCCAUGCAUUUCAGCAGGAGCCUCCUUGUCCACUCCUUUCAGUUGUCUUCCCUGGCAAAGGAGUUUUUAUAAUGGUGAUUUCAGGAUGGGAGGAGGGUGAGUCAGCACCAGAGAGACCUAAGGAUGCCCUCAAAUCAUACCACAGGAGAAGCAGCCUUCUUCUCACCUGUGUCUGGUCGUAUCACUUUAGCAUUCCAUCAGGACCUGGCCCAGAAGCCCAGAAACAUGGCAACACCCACACCUGCCAUCUAGCCUGGAAGCUGCAGCGAAACCCUCAGCACUCACGCUGAUGUCACAUUUGAGGCUAGUCCCAGCUCUUCCAUGGAGACAGGCCCUGGCCUUGAGGCCAUUUCCCAUUUCUGAGGCAUGAUUCACUUAGCAGACAAGACCAGACAGACUCGUUCAUGUUCAUACCUACCGGAGGAAGGAGAGGUGGGUGGUGGAUCCAGGGGGAGAAGAAAAACAAACGGGGUUAGGGCUGGCAGGACUCUCGCUGCUGGGCUGCAGGGGCGGAGCAGGCAGGCAGAGCGCCUGACUUAGGAGCCGUGCCCAGCAUGGCCACCCACUCACCCAUUUAUCUUCCUUGCAGUCAAAUGUAUUGAUUUAAACAGGAAUCCGUCUGUGCUUCUAAAGCCCCAGAAACGCACUUACAUCUCACGUGUAGCACAAUGAUUUUCAAAGAGGUUUCCCACAAAUAAUUUUAAUUUGGGUUACUUUUUAAAUAUUUGAUUCUCUUAUUAACAAAGCAACACAUGCUUAUGAGGAAUGCUGGGACAACUUUUCAAAUGUCAAUUUUAAAUAUAUACAGAAUUAUACCACCAGCAAUAAGAUUUUCAGUAAAUUUCCCACUAGUCUGUUUUCUGAGUCCACAGACAUAUAUAGUUCAUGAAACAAAAUUGGAGCCAUACCACACAAAGAGUUCCAUAUCUUUUUUUCUUUUCAUUUAACAUAAAGUCAUUGGCAUUUUUCAAUGUUACCAAAUAUUCUGCUACAGCAAUUCAUAAUGGCUGCAUUUAUCAGAAUAGAUGUGUUAUAAUUUCGGUGGCCAUGCCCUGAUUGUUGGACUUUCAAGAUGUUUACGAAAAUAUUACUAUUAAAAUAACAGUGCCACGAACACCUCUUUACUUGUAUUUUUGUCUGUAUAUCUGAUUAUGUGCCAAUAAUAAAUUUCUAGUAAUGGAAUUACUAGCUCACAGGAUUUGAAUAUUUCUGAAUAUAUCUAGCCAAAUUACUUUCCAGAAAAUACAUCCAGUUUACACUCCCCCGGCAAUGUGUUCGAAUGUUCUCACUCUGUUUUGAGCUUGUGAGCCAGUGAGUUAGGUAACAAGGUCUCAUGUUACAGACGAAGAAAACUGGGCACAAAAAGAUUAAGUAGCCAGCUCCAGUUCGUACAACUGAGAUCCAAGCCCUGGCCUCCUGGAGUUAGUGUCAGGGGCCUUCCAGACAAGGAGAGCUCUGAAGAGGUUUCCUGACUAAUGGAGUUGGAUAGAACUUUCUUUUUUUUUUUUUUUGAGACGGAGUCUCACUCUGUCACCCAGGCUGGAGUGCAGUGGCGACAUCUUGGCUCACUGCAACCUCUGCCUCCCAGGUUCAAGUGAUUCUCCUGCCUCAGCCUCCCGAGUAGCUGGGAUUACAGACAUGUGCCCCUAUGCCCAGCUAAUUUUUAUAUUUUUAAUAAGUAGAGACAGGUUUUCAGUAUGUUGGCCAGACUGGUCUAGAACUCCUGACCUCAGGUGAUCCACCUGCCUCAGCCUCCCAAAGUGCUGGGAUAAUAGGUGUGAGCCAUCAUGCCUGGCCGCCUUCUAUUAUUUAUUAGAGACAUUAGUCUGUAACUUCUCCUUUUUUAAUAACUUUGAUAUAUUUUUAUAUUAAAGUUAUGCUGGCCUGAAAGUUGAGAUAUUUUCCCUUUUUUCUCUAGUAUUUUCUUUGAGGGAAGGUUUCUAAUUAUGGAUUAAAGUUUUUAAAGUAGAUGUAGGUAUAUGUACAUUUUGUACUUAUGUUCAUUUUGGUAAAUUGGGCUUCUCAAAGAAUUGAUUCACUUCCUUCAAAUUUUCAAAUUUAUUAGCGCACAUUUUUUAUAAUAUCUUUUUAUCAUUUUAAUAUCUGUAGCAUCUGUUUUUAUAGCCUGCUUUUUUCAUUCCUGAUACUGAUAAUUCAUAUUUUCUCUUUGUUUUUCUUAGUCUUACUACUAUUUAUCAAUUUUUUUUUUUUUUUUUGGAUACAAGGUCUCACUCUGUCACCCAAGCUUGAAUACAGUGAAAUGAUCACAGUUCACUGCAGCCUUAGCUUUGGCUCAAGCGAUCCUCCCACCUCAGCCUCCCAAAGUGCUAGGAGUACAGGCAUGAGCCACUGUGACUGGCCUAUCAGUUUUUUUAACCUUUUCAAAGAAUGAAUGUUUGGAUUUAUUUUCCAUAUUGCAAAUUUUUUUCUAUUUCACAGAUUUUUGCUCUUUAUUAUUUCUUUGCUUUUUCUUUAUUUGGUCCUAAUUUGGUUGCUCUUCUUUUAGAUUCCUGAUUUUCAAUUCUUAGUGUUUUUGUUUGUUUGUUUUUUUUUUUUUUUGAGAUGGAGUCUUGCUCUGUCACCCAGGCUGGAGUGCAGUGGCACAACCUUGGCUCACUGCAACCUCCUCCUCCCGGGUUCAAGCGAUUCUCCUGCCUCAGCCUCCCGAGUAGCUGGGAUUACAGGUGUGCACCACCAUGCCCAGCUAAUUUUUGUAUUUUUGGUAGAGACAGGGUUUUACCAUGUUGGCCAGGCUGGUCUUGAAUUUCUCACCUCAAGUGAUCCACCUGCCUCAGCCUCCCACAGUGCUGGGAUUACAGGCUUGAGCCACCUCGCCCAGCCAAUUCUUAGUCUUUUUUUUUUUUUUUUUUUUUUUUUGAGAUGGAGUCUUGCUCUGUCACCCAGGCUGGAGUACAGUGGCACAACCUUGGCUCACUGCAACCUCCUCCUCCCGGGUUCAAGCGAUUCUCCUGCCUCAGCCUCCCAAGUAGCUGGGAUUACAGGUGUGCACCACCAUGCCCAGCUAAUUUUUGUAUUUUUGGUAGAGACAGGGUUUUACCAUGUUGGCCAGGCUGGUCUUGAAUUUCUAACCUCAAGUGAUCCACCUGCCUCAGCCUCCCAAAGUGCUGGGAUUACAGGCAUGAGCCACCUCGCCCAGCCAAUUCUUAGUCUUUUUUUUUUUUUUUUUCAUUUCUGAUAUAUACAUUUAAGGCCAUACAUUUUCCUCUAAUCACUGUCUGGCUGACAUCCUACAGUUUAUAAAAUAAAAUUAUAUGUGUUUAUUACAAGAAUCAAAUUAAGAAAUUGUAUCAGCUUCUCUAACAUACUUAUUUACACAGCAAAUAUAAUAUACCAAGAUGAUGCAAACCUUUCAAAUAUGUCAAGCCACAGUUUUCUUUGCUUUUUUUUCUUAGUUUAAAAUAUAUUGUUGUUCUUCCACCUUAUCUUUGUUUUCAUAAGUGGUUUUUCUCUUAUCCUGCCUUAUAAUUUUGCUAGGUUUGGUGAUGUAGGAAAUCAAAAAAGGAUUUAGACAAGAACAAAUGAAGUUAUGGUCCGAACAAUUUUGAAGCAAUAGAUUUACAUUUGAGAACUUUUAGUUGUAAUGAUCCUGCAAGUUUUGGUUUGUUGUGUUUUCAUUAUUAUUCAGUUCAAAAUAUUUUCUAAAUCUCAUGUGAUUUUUUUCAUUUUAUUCAUAAGUUAUUUAGAAGUCCUAUCAAAUCUCAAAGCGGUGGGGGAUUGUAUUAUUAGCUACAUAUGACAGAUGUUUGGCUUAAUUCCACAGUCGAAGAACACAAUCUGUAGGAUUUCAUUCCUUUGAUAUUUGUUGAGGUUUGAUCAUGUCUCAGCAUGUGGUGUAUCUGUGGGAAAUGUUCAAUGUGUACUUGAGAAGAAUGUGCUUUCUGUACUUGUUUAUAAUAUCUAAAACAAAAGAGUGAUUAUCUUCUAGGUUAUAUAAAAACUCAGGCAAAUCGGUAGGAAAAAAAAAUGCCACAGGAAACCCUAUAGAAAAAAAUGGCAUAGGAAAAGAACAAGCUAUUCACAGAAGCAAAAGCCCAAAAUAGAAGAGAUACUCAAAUUUAUUAGUAAUCAGAGGAACGCAAUCACAAGAUACCACUUUUUAUACUUGGACGUCAGAAUGGUAAAAAUUAGAUAGGCAAAAUCAAAUGUUAGUGUUUAUCACAGAGAACUCACAAAGGUUUUUAGGUACAAAGACCUUCCUCAUGGCUUUAUCUGAGUGGUGGGGAAGUGAGGGCAACUUAGGUAUUCAUUAUCACAGAUGGAGAAGAACCAUACGAUGGAUGCUCACUCUGGGAAGAUUGGUUAGUGGCUCACCAAGUCUAUCUCCUUUUCUUCCAAGACACACAAAUAGACUACAUUUUCCAGUCUUCAUUGCAGUUAGGCACAACCAUUUGACUGAGGUCUAGUCAAAGAAUAUGAAUGGAAAUGAUGUUGCUAUUCCAGGCCCAUGAAAACCUCUCACACAAGAUAUUUAUGCCUUUCACCUUCUGCCAAUGCAAUGCAGGUGGAUGCGACCAUCUUGGAAGCCAUGUUAAAGAAGGCAGAGCCACAAGAUAGAUGCAGCCGGGUUCUCUAAAUCACCACUGGGGAGAAACCCACACACCAAUGAGGAAUACCCAUUUUUUGGAUUUUAAGAGCAAGAAAUAAACUUCAAUUGUGUUCAGCAUUAUGUGCUUUGGGGUUUGUUUAUUACAGCAACUAGUGUUACUGCAACUAAUACAUAGUACACUAUGAAAAUACAAUGCUGGAGAAAGAAGUGAUGGAAUAGAUAUGCAUAAAACACCAUUGAUAGGCCUCACAAACAUAGGGUUAAGUGCAGAAGUACAGAAACAGAAUGAAAUUUAUAACUAGAUUCUAUUUAUUAAAUAGCAUAUGCACACAAUAUAAUAAUACAUGUUUUCUGAGGAUACAUGCAUAUUUAAGGAUGUAUAACAAAUGCUUUAGAAUGGGUAUGUAUGGGCCAGGUGCGGUGGCUCAUGCCUGUAAUCCCAGCACUUUGAGAAGCCAAGGCAGAUGGAUUACCAGAGGUUGGGAGUUCGAGACCAGUCUGGCCAACAUGCUGAAACCCCAUCUCUACUACAAAUACAGAAAAUUAGCUGGGUGCAGUGGUGGGCAUCUGUAAUUCCAACUAAUUGGGAUGCUGAGGCAGGAGAAUCACUUGAACCUGGGAGCCCGAGGCUGCAGUAAGCCAUGAUCGUACCACUGCACUCCAGCCUGGGAGACAGAGUAAGACUCCAUCUCAAAAAAAAAAAAAAAAAAAAAGAAUGGGUAUGUACGGUAGGAAUCAGAGAAGAAGGGAGAAAAAAGAAAAA